rnacentral:rRNA from 1 species
CGGUGUUCAACUGGCGUGUCCGCGGGACGUCCUGCCGGUGGGCUUAGCCCGCAAGGGCGGCCCAACUUCAAAUCCCAUCGCGGUGCUCUUCACUGAGUGUCGAGGUGGGCCGGCACGUUUACUUUGAACAAAUUAGAGUGCUUAAAGCAGGCUAAAACUUCGCCUGAAUACUGUGUGCAUGGAAUAAUGGAAUAGGACCUCGGUUCUAUUUUGUUGGUUUUCGGAACCCCGAGGUAAUGAUUAAUAGGAACGGAUGGGGGCAUUCGUAUUGCGACGUUAGAGGUGAAAUUCUUGGAUCGUCGCAAGACGGACAGAAGCGAAAGCAUUUGCCAAAAACGCUUUCAUUGAUCAAGAACGAAAGUUAGAGGUUCGAAGGCGAUCAGAUACCGCCCUAGUUCUAACCAUAAACGAUGCCAGCUAGCGAUCCGUCGACGUUCCUCCGAUGACUCGACGGGCAGCUUCCGGGAAACCAAAGCUUUUGGGUUCCGGGGGAAGUAUGGUUGCAAAGCUGAAACUUAAAGGAAUUGACGGAAGGGCACCACCAGGAGUGGAGCCUGCGGCUUAAUUUGACUCAACACGGGAAACCUCACCAGGCCCGGACACCGGAAGGAUUGACAGAUUGAGAGCUCUUUCUUGAUUCGGUGGGUGGUGGUGCAUGGCCGUUCUUAGUUGGUAGAGCGAUUUGUCUGGUUAAUUCCGAUAACGAACGAGACUCUAGCCUGCUAACUAGGCGUAUUUUCGACAUCUCAAAGGUCCGUCGUCCCGGCCCUCGGGUCGUGGGCGUGCGCGAUUUUUACUGUCGGCGUACUAUCAAUUCUUCUUAGAGGGACAGGUGGCUUCUAGCCGCACGAGAUUGAGCAAUAACAGGUCUGUGAUG